rnacentral:rRNA from 1 species
UACGUAGGGGGCUAGCGUUGUCCGGAUUUAUUGGGCGUAAAGAGCGUGUAGGCGGCCAGGUAGGUCUGGUGUGAAAACUCGAGGCUUAACCUCGAGAUGUCAUCGGAAACCAUUUGGCUAGAGUCCGGAAGAGGAGAGUGGAAUUCCUGGUGUAGCGGUGAAAUGCGCAGAUAUCAGGAAGAACACCAAUGGCGAAAGCAGCUCUCUGGGACGGUACUGACGCUGAGGCGCGAAAGCUAGGGGAGCGAACAGG